CCCUCGGUAGUGCAAACAGUUAACACACUUGGCUGCUAAUCAAAAGGUUGGCAGUUUGAAUCCACCCAGAGGAA
rnacentral:tRNA from 1 species